rnacentral:rRNA from 1 species
UAGAAGAACUAACAAGGAUUCCCCUAGUAGCGGCGAGCGAAGCGGGAAAAGCUCAAAUUUGUAAUCUGGCGUCUUCGACGUCCGAGUUGUAAUCUCGAGAAGUGUUUUCCGUGAUAGACCGCAUACAAGUCUCUUGGAACAGAGCGUCAUAGUGGUGAGAACCCAGUACACGAUGCGGAUGCCUAUUACUUUGUGAUACACUUUCGAAGAGUCGAGUUGUUUGGGAAUGCAGCUCAAAUUGGGUGGUAAAUUCCAUCUAAAGCUAAAUAUUGGCGAGAGACCGAUAGCGAACAAGUACCGUGAGGGAAAGAUGAAAAGCACUUUGGAAAGAGAGUUAACAGUACGUGAAAUUGUUGGAAGGGAAACACAUGCAGUGAUACUUGCUAUUCGGGGCAACUCGAUUGGCAGGCCCGCAUCAGUUUUCCGGGGCGGAAAAGCAUAGAGAGAAGGUAGCAGUUUCGGCUGUGUUAUAGCUCUUUAUUGGAUUCGCCCUGGGGGAUUGAGGAACGCAGCGUGCUUUUUGCAUGAGCUUCGGCUUAUCCACGCUUAGGAUGCGGGUUUAUGGCUGUAUAUGACCCGUCUUGAAACACGGACCAAGGAGUCUAACAUGCUUGCGAGUAUUUGGGUGUCAAACCCGGAUGCGCAAUGAAAGUGAAUGGAGGUGGGAAGCGCAAGCUGCACCAUCGACCGAUCUGGAUUUUUUAAGAUGGAUUUGAGUAAG